GCGUGGGUGAAGAAGGUCUUCGGAUUGUAAAGCCCUUUCGGCGGGGACGAUGAUGACGGUACCCGCAGAAGAAGCCCCGGCUAACUUCGUGCCAGCAGCCGCGGUAAUACGAAGGGGGCUAGCGUUGCUCGGAAUGACUGGGCGUAAAGGGCGCGUAGGCGGAUGACAUAGUCAGGCGUGAAAUUCCUGGGCUCAACCUGGGGGCUGCGCAUGAUACGUGUCGUCUUGAGUGAGGAAGAGGGUCGUGGAAUUCCCAGUGUAGAGGUGAAAUUCGU
rnacentral:rRNA from 1 species